UACGAAGGGUGCAAGCAUUACUCAGAAUUACUAAACGUAAAGCGUGCGUAGGUGGUUCGUUAAGUCAGAUGUGAAAGCCCCGGGCUCAACCUGGGAAUUGCAUUUGAUACUGGCGGGCUAGAGUGCGGUAGAGGAGAGUGGAAUUCCCGGUGUAGCAGUGAAAUGCGUAGAGAUCGGGAGGAACAUCAGUUGCGAAGGCGGCUCUCUGGACCAGCACUGACACUGAGGCACGAAAGCGUGGGGAGCAAAC
rnacentral:rRNA from 1 species